rnacentral:rRNA from 1 species
UCCAUGCCGUAAACGAUGAAUGCUAGCUGAUGGAGGUCUAUACCCAUUCAUUGGCAAAGUUAACGCAUUAAGCAUUCCGCCUGGGGACUACGGCCGCAAGGCUAAAACUCAAAGGAAUUGACGGGGGCCCGCACAAGCAGUGGAGUAUGUGGUUUAAUUCGACGCAACGCGCAGAACCUUACCCGGCCUUGACAUCCUUGGAAGUUUCUCGAAAGGGAGACGUGCCACCG